AACGUAGGAGACAAACGUUAUCCGGAGUUACUGGGCGUAAAGGGCGUGUAGGUGGUUACGUAAGUCUGGCGUGAAAUUUCUCGGCUUAACCGAGGCAGGUCGUCGGAUACUGCGAGACUAGAGUGCGGUAGGGGAGAUUGGAAUUCCUGGUGUAGCGGUGGAAUGCGCAGAUAUCAGGAGGAACACCGAUGCGAAGGCAGAUCUCUGGGCCGUAACUGACGCUGAGGAGCGAAAGCAUGGGGGAGCGAACAGG
rnacentral:rRNA from 1 species